rnacentral:misc_RNA from 1 species
UCUCCCUCUCUCUAUCUCUCUCUCCACCAUGAAAAAGAUGAGAACCAAAUUUGUCAUGAUCAGAUCUUCCAUCCCAGGGUGAGUCGGUAGCCUUGGCGACUUCUUAUUUUGAUGCUGGCUAGGUUAUAUUACAUUCCUGAAAGUAGUUGUCUGAGCCAAUGUAAUCUUUUUCAGUCCAAUAUGGAGGACUGAAAUCCCAUGUUGUUGAAUCUUACAAUAUGUAAGAAUUAGCCUCUGACAAAAAAAAAAGGGGUUCAGGAAGGUAGAGAAAGGGGUUCCAAUUGCUCCGGCAUUUCUGCUGAACCAAUUUUUAUCAAUAAUGAUUUGUCGUGAUUGUUAAUUACUGCCGUACCUGUGGCAAACGCAGCAGAUAAACUAUGUCUAUUAACUGGACAGAAAACAACAGUACUAGAGAAAUUUCGAACGCUUUUUUGACACAUUGAUGCAAGUUAUAAAAAUGUCUGAGGUGACAAACAAAUUAAAAAGCGAGGUAAUUCUGGUAGCAUCUGAUUUGGCUAAAAUUUGACAGGGACAUUUACAAUUAUAUUUCACCAAAAAGGUUGGUCCCCGUUCCACCCCCCAAUCCAAACGCAUACGUUAAAAGACUGGCAUAGUUAGUGGAUGACUCCAUGGGAGAGUGACCUAGUCGUUGUUUUAUGAUAAGCUUUAGAAAAGUACCUAGAAUAGUCGUUGUUUGUUUCAUUGGAGUCAGUCAUUGAAUUCCAGGGAUUGGGCUGGGCCUCGUCUCACACCAAAAGCAUCUCAAAGUAUAACUACUGAUGCACUCAAAUUCCAAUUGAUCGACCAUGGCUGGUUCUCCUGUGUCCCAUGGGAAAAGAAGAAAAAAGAUUGAGACCAGAGACAGCUAGCUGGUCACAGCUUUAAGCUAAAGAAGGUAUGAGCCAAUGAACUUUAAGAUAAAAUUAGAAAAAGAAAAAAUUGUUCCCAAACAGCAAACACACGUAAAGAAAGAUUGAUAAUAAUUUUUUUUUAAAGAAAAGAAAAGAAAAGGUGGCAGUAGCAAAGAUUAAAGAGGGUAUUGGGGAGGAGGCAAGUCUCAUCAAAAGAUUAAGAUGGCAACCCUAAAAAGAAGUUCCCAUUAUAAUUUUUCUUUCUGUUUUUUAUUUCCCUCACACUGUCGUGGGCCAAAAGUUCCCACUUCUCUAUCUCAUAUCCAUGGAAUGCAAGAGUUUCUUUGGUCGCUUAUGUGGAGUUGGCGGUGGGGACCGCAUGUAUUCAUCUAUCGCCAUUCACAUUUAUCCUCGUUG